UACACGACUACAGCAAAACAACAUUAUUUAGUCUCUGAAAUACAGUUCUGAAAAAUACAAUUACAUGUUCAAGGAAACCCUUUCAAGUGUGCCAACAUACAAUUUACUUUAGAUAUAAAAUUACUAUUUCAAAAUAAAAGAAAAAUAGAAGCACUUCUGAAAAAUGAAAAUACGUAUAAAUAAACUGAGGAUAAAACUCAGUCCCCACAAUAAAUGAAGAUGAAUACCCUGACAGUUCAAAAAUCAAUUUGUAAUAUAUAAACUUUUUUUUCAAAUAUAAAAUGUGGACUUUAAACUAAAACCAGUUUCACUCUACAAGAGUUUAAGCAGAUCUUGAAAAGGGGAAAUAAAAAAGGAGAAAAAGAAAUGGCAAAAACUUUAGGAUUUGUAGGAAUUCAAAAGACCUCAAAGCCAAUUACCACAAUUUAGUUUGGUAGAAAAGGAGUUCUUCUAAUGUGUCUAAUGUGUGUUCCUGAGGUCUUGAACACCUUCAAUUCCAACAGCAACAUCCAAUCCCAUUUCUUCUGAGAUGGCUGACCGUAGCUGGAAUCCUUUCUGCGAUGUCGUUUUCAGUGGAUGUCAUGAUUCUGCCCCACCUUCACCUGCCUGAUUGCUCAUUCUGAACACCUGCGCGCUCCUCUAUUUAAGACUCUUCCCCUCUAGACUCAGUACUGGAUUGUUGUCUACUCCCUGAAGUUCUCUGUAUGCACGCCUUGCUAUUUUGUCUCGUCCUCGACCCUGCUCAUGCUCUGGAUUCCUGCUCCUGCCUUCACCCUUCGGUACCUCCGCCUUGGACCCACUCUGAUCUCCGUGUUGCUGACCCUCGCUUCGUCCACGUCUUGCCGCCCCUGCCUUCUCCUCUGGAUAUUUCUGCUGCCCUGAAGAACCCUUGGACUCCCCCUACUGCUUGGAUGACCUUACUGCAGACAUAAUAAACUGCUUUACUUAACUAAA